GCGAGUGAAGAGGGAAGAGCUCAAAUUUGAAAUCUGGCGGUCUCAGGCCGUCCGAGUUGUAAUCUAGAGAGGCGUUUUCCGUGCCGGACCGUGUACAAGUCCCUUGGAACAGGGCGUCAUAGAGGGUGAGAAUCCCGUCCAUGACACGGACUCCNGGUGCUCUGUGAUACGCCUUCGAAGAGUCGAGUUGUUNGGGAAUGCAGCUCAAAACGGGUGGUAAAUUCCAUCUAAAGCUAAAUACAGGCGAGAGACCGAUAGCGAACAAGUACCGUGAGGGAAAGAUGAAAAGAACUUUGGAAAGAGAGUUAAACAGUACGUGAAAUUGUUGAAAGGGAAACGCUUGAAGUCAGUCGCGUCUGCCAGGACUCAGCCUUGCUUCUGCUCGGUGCACUUCCUGGUGGAUGGGCCAGCAUCGAUUUUGGCUGCCGGAAAAGGGCGGGAGGAAUGUGGCAGCUUGCUGUGUUAUAGCCUCCNGUCGUACACGGUGGUUGGGAUCGAGGAAUGCAGCACGCCUUUUGGUCGGGGUUCGCCCACGCCACGUGCUUAGGAUGCUGGCGUAAUGGCUUUAAACGACCCGUCUUGAAACACGGACCAAGGAGUCUAACAUGCCUGCGAGUGUUUGGGUGUCAAACCCAGGCGCGUAAUGAAAGUGAAAAGUUGGGACUCUUUAGUGAGGCACCGACGCCCGAUCCUGACGUUUUCUGACGGAUUUGAGGCAGAGCAUGUAUGUUGGGACCCGAAAGAUGGUGAACUAUGCCUGAAUAGGGUGAAGCCAGAGGAAACUCUGG
rnacentral:rRNA from 1 species